ensembl:processed_transcript
AAGGAUGGGAAUAUGCUCUUUUCUCAGAAUAUGGUUCAUCUCAAGGCCAUUUACACUUUGGAGCCAGGCCUGUUCAGUUUUACAAAUAGCACAGGUUACUGUGACAACAUGAAGAGUUGAAGGUACCUCCCAGGAUGAUUGCAGAUUUUCCCGGUGGUGAGUCUCCGGCAUUCAAAGGUUAGAUUAUUUUGCAUUGGGUUUGUUCACUAGGUUGGCUGUUUCUAUGAUGAAUCAAACUAGCUCACUAUGACUGCUAAUGAAAACACAGGAACACCUGAGAAACGGAAAGGUAGCAUGUGGGGGCAAGAGCACUUAUAUCCAGCCUUUUCAACCUUGGCUAUUUUUCUCCAGGUUCUGUUAGUGCCAUACUUGUUGGUUUACAGGUGAGUAAUUCAAGCAUGUGGUGUGGUGUAUGUGCAUAGUAUUGGACCUAACUGAGAAAGUACUUGGUA